rnacentral:rRNA from 1 species
CAUGCAAGUCGAACGGAGAUUACAGGCGGAAGUUUUCGGAUGGAAGCUUGUAAACUUAGUGGCGGACGGGUGAGUAACACGUGAGCAACCUGCCUAUCAGAGGGGGAUAACGAUUGGAAACGAUCGCUAAUACCGCAUGACAUAGCGGAACCGCAUGGUUCUGUUAUCAAAGAUUUUAUCGCUGAUAGAUGGGCUCGCGUCCGAUUAGAUAGUUGGUGGGGUAACGGCCUACCAAGUCGACGAUCGGUAGCCGGACUGAGAGGUCGAACGGCCACAUUGGGACUGAGACACGGCCCAGACUCCUACGGGAGGCAGCAGUGGGGGAUAUUGCACAAUGGGGGAAACCCUGAUGCAGCGACGCCGCGUGAGGGAAGACGGUCCUCUGGAUUGUAAACCUCUGUCUUCGGGGACGAAACGAGACGGUACCCGAGGAGGAAGCCACGGCUAACUACGUGCCAGCAGCCGCGGUAAUACGUAGGUGGCAAGCGUUGUCCGGAAUUACUGGGUGUAAAGGGAGCGUAGGCGGGCAGGCAAGUCAGGCGUGAAAUAUAUCGGCUCAACCGGUAACGGCGCUUGAAACUGCAGGUCUUGAGUGAAGUGGAGGUUGGCGGAAUUCCUAGUGUAGCGGUGAAAUGCGUAGAUAUUAGGAGGAACACCAGUGGCGAAGGCGGCCAACUGGGCUUUUACUGACGCUGAG